rnacentral:rRNA from 1 species
UACGUAGGGGGCAAGCGUUGUCCGGAUUUAUUGGGCGUAAAGAGCGUGUAGGCGGUUAUGCAGGUCCGCUGUGAAAACUGGGGGCUUAACCUCCAGACGUCGGUGGAAACCGUAUGACUAGAGUCCGGAAGAGGAGAGUGGAAUUCCUGGUGUAGCGGUGAAAUGCGCAGAUAUCAGGAAGAACACCCGUGGCGAAGGCGGCUCUCUGGGACGGUACUGACGCUGAGACGCGAAAGCGUGGGGAGCGAACAGG